GAUGAACGCUGGCGGCGUGCCUAAUACAUGCAAGUCGAGCGAACGGACGAGAAGCUUGCUUCUCUGAUGUUAGCGGCGGACGGGUGAGUAACACGUGGAUAACCUACCUAUAAGACUGGGAUAACUUCGGGAAACCGUAGCUAAUACCGGAUAAUAUUUUGAACCGCAUGGUUCAAAAGUGAAAGACGGUCUUGCUGUCACUUAUAGAUGGAUCCGCGCUGCAUUAGCUAGUUGGUAAGGUAACGGCUUACCAAGGCAACGAUGCAUAGCCGACCUGAGAGGGUGAUCGGCCACACUGGAACUGAGACACGGUCCAGACUCCUACGGGAGGCAGCAGUAGGGAAUCUUCCGCAAUGGGCGAAAGCCUGACGGAGCAACGCCGCGUGAGUGAUGAAGGUCUUCGGAGCGUAAAACUCUGUUAUUAGGGAAGAACAUAUGUGUAAGUAACUGUGCACAUCUUGACGGUACCUAAUCAGAAAGCCACGGCUAACUACGUG
rnacentral:rRNA from 1 species